GAUGAACGCUGGCGGCGUGCUUAAUACAUGCAAGUCGAGCGAACGGACGAGCAUCUUGCUUCUCUUAUUUUAGCGGCGGACGGGUGAGUAACACGUGGAUAACCUACCUAUUACACUGGGAUAACUUCGGGAAACCGGAGCUAAUACCGGAUAAUAUUUUGAACCGCAUGGUUCAAAUGUAAAAGACGGUCUUGCUGUCACUUAUAGAUUGAUCCGCUCUGCAUUUGCUAGUUGGUAAGGUAACGGCUUACCAAGGCAACGAUGCAUAGCCGACCUGAGAGGGUGAUCGGCCACACUGGAACUGAGACACGGUCCAGACUCCUACGGGAGGCAGCAGUAGGGAAUCUUCCGCAAUGGGCGAAAGCCUGACGGAGCAACGCCGCGUGAGUGAUGAAGGUCUUCGGAUCGUAAAACUCUGUUAUUAGGGAAGAACAUAUGUGUAAGUAACUGUGCACAUCUUGACGGUACCUAAUCAGAAAGCAACGGCUAACUACGUG
rnacentral:rRNA from 1 species